AGUGAACGCUGGCGGUAGGCCUAACACAUGCAAGUCGAACGGCAGCACAGUAAGAGCUUGCUCUUACGGGUGGCGAGUGGCGGACGGGUGAGGAAUACAUCGGAAUCUACUUUUUCGUGGGGGAUAACGUAGGGAAACUUACGCUAAUACCGCAUACGACCUACGGGUGAAAGUAGGGGAUCUUCGGACCUUGCGCGAUUGAAUGAGCCGAUGUCGGAUUAGCUAGUUGGCGGGGUAAAGGCCCACCAAGGCGACGAUCCGUAGCUGGUCUGAGAGGAUGAUCAGCCACACUGGAACUGAGACGCGGUCCAGACUCCUACGGGAGGCAGCAGUGGGGAAUAUUGGACAAUGGGCGCAAGCCUGAUCCAGCCAUACCGCGUGGGUGAAGAAGGCCUUCGGGUUGUAAAGCCCUUUUGUUGGGAAAGAAAAGCAGCAGGUUAAUACCCCGCUGUUCUGACGGUACCCAAAGAAUAAGCACCGGCUAACUUCGUG
rnacentral:rRNA from 1 species